CUCUCUGCUAUGGCCUGGGAAAGCAGUAGAAGAUGGCCCAAGUCCUUAGGCCCCUGCACCCACGUGGGAGACCUGGAAGAAGCUCCUGGCUCUUGGCUUUGGAUCAGCGCAGCUCCAGCCAUUGCAGCCAUCUGGCAGGGAGGAUAAGCACUUCCAUCCACUGGAUCUCUCUCCAUAUGCCUGCAGGAGCCAGGGCUAAGGAAAAGAGAAGAAAGAAGAAAAGAGAAGCAAAAGAAGGCCUUUCAAAAAUCCCAACAUUUAGUGGUUGAGAAGAGGAGAGUGUAAUAUGAAACAAGAUAGAAGCAGCAGUAAAAGAGGACUGUCAAAACAAAACAAGUAAGGAUUUUUCACGCAAGCCUAGAAAAAAGACCCUUUCAAAAAGAAAUCUAUGAUCAUCUGUAUAGAAUAAGGAAGUCACUAAGACUUUAGCAAGAAUGCCAGAAUUGAGUGAUUGAGGAGUGACUAUAGCUAAUAAAAUGUGCAAAGAUAACUCUUCGAAAGGAAUUUGGCUGAUGAGGAAAGGAAGAGAGAGCAAUAGCUGAAGGAUAAAGGCAGGAGUGGGGAGCUGGCUGUCGUUCACUGGUUGGUUGGUUCACUGCUGUGUUAUAUGAUGGAUUUCAUUGUUUUCAAGGUUUGAGAAUAUUUUUAAAUGACUGGAGGGGUGCAGUGGUUAAGAUGCUUCUUGGGGCCGGCACCAUAGCUCAAUAGGCUAAUCCUCCGCCUAGAGGCACCGGCACACCGGGUUCUAGUCCCAGUCAGGGUGCCGGAUUCUGUCCCGAUUGCCCCUCUUCCUGUCCAGCUCUCUGCUAUGGCCUGGAAGGGCAGUGGAGGAUGGCCCAAGUGCUUGGGCCCUGCACCCACGUGAGAGGCCAGGAGAAGCACCUGGCUCCUGCCUUCUGAUCAGCGCAGUGUGCUGGCUGCAGCACACCAGCCGCAGCGGCCAUUGGAGGAUGAACCAACAGCAAAAAGGAAGACCUUUCUCUCUCUCUCUCUCACUGUCCACUCUGCCUGUUAAAAGAGAGAGAGAGAGAGAGAGAGAGAGAGAGAGAGAGAGAGAUGCUUCUUGGGGCACCCAUAUCCCAUUUCAGAGUGUCUGGUUUGAGUCCCGGCUCCUCUGCUUCCAAUCCAGCUUUCCGCUAAUAAAAGCCCUGAAAGGCAACAGAUGAUGGUUCAAGCUCUUGGGUCCCUGUCACCCACAUCAGUGACCCAGAGUGAGUUCUGGCCACCUAGCUUCAGUCUGACCUGGCUCUGGCUGCUGUAGGCGUUUGGGGAAUGAACUAAGAGAUGGAAGAUCUCUGUCUUUCUCUCUCUCACUCUCGCUCUCUCUUACCCUCUCUUUCUCUCCCUCUCUUUCAAAUAAAAUUCAAAUCAGUAAAUAAACAUUAAAAUUAAAAUGAGCAGAAAAGAUCCAGUUGAGGGACUGGCAUUGUGGCAUAUCUUGUAAAACUGCUGCUUACACUGCCGGCAUCCCACAUGGGUGCCAAUUCAGGUCCCAGCUGCUCCACUUCCAAUCCAGCUCCCCGCUGUGGCCUGGGAAAGCAGUAGAAGAUGACCCAAGUCCUUAGACCCCUGCACCCACAUGGGAGACCCAGAAGAAGCUCCUGGCUCCUGGCUUCAGAAUGGUGCAGCUCCAGCUGUUGCAGCCAUUUGGGGAGUGAACCAGUGGAUGGAAGACCUUUCUCUCUCUCUCCCUCUCUCUUCCCCUGUCUCUCUGUAACUCUGCCUUUCAAAUAAUUAAAUAAAUAAAUAUUUAAUGAAAUAAAA